rnacentral:rRNA from 1 species
GACGAACGCUGGCGGCGUGCUUAACACAUGCAAGUCGAACGGCAAGGCCCUGCUUUUGUGGGGUGCUCGAGUGGCGAACGGGUGAGUAACACGUGAGUAACCUGCCCUUGACUUUGGGAUAACUUCAGGAAACUGGGGCUAAUACCGGAUAGGAGCUCCUGCUGCAUGGUGGGGGUUGGAAAGUUUCGGCGGUUGGGGAUGGACUCGCGGCUUAUCAGCUUGUUGGUGGGGUAGUGGCUUACCAAGGCUUUGACGGGUAGCCGGCCUGAGAGGGUGGCCGGCCACAUUGGGACUGAGAUACGGCCCAGACUCCUACGGGAGGCAGCAGUGGGGAAUAUUGCACAAUGGGCGGAAGCCUGAUGCAGCAACGCCGCGUGCGGGAUGACGGCCUUCGGGUUGUAAACCGCUUUCGCCUGUGACGAAGCGUGAGUGACGGUAAUGGGUAAAGAAGCACCGGCUAACUACGUG